CCCUUUUCUUCUACAAAAAAUAGAGAGCACCCCCCUUUUUUAUAACUUUUCUGUGCUAGGGUUUUUAAGACCCAUUAUCGCACGACGCUGGAUCACCGUGGCCCCACCGUGGGUGGUGGUCGGAGCCACACGAAGGUCAGAUUUUCGGCCUUUUUAAGAGCUCCUGAAAACAAAGCACACCAAACUCAGAAAACAUGAAAGAAAUGGCCUCUCCCCCUUCCUUUUUAGCCCGAUUCAGACAACGGAGAGUAGAUCUCAGGAGGCGUGACCACGGGGUUAUUCCGGUGUCAGAGGUGCACCAGAGGCAUGUGAGGCCAGUGAUGGUAGUGGAGGCGCGUGCGGGGAGGGCUGAAGUGACCUGGUGCGACGCUUAGGGUUCUCCCUCCCUUCUUUUGCUGAAAAUAUUUAGUGGGCUAGGGUUGAUUUGGGUAGUGGGCUGAUAUGGGUUUUAGGGUUGUUUAUUUGGGGUUUUAAGUUUGGGCUGAUGGUUUUUUGUUUUGGGCUUUAAGUUUAGGUUUAUGGGUUUUGAAUUUUGUAAUUGGACUGUUAAUAAUAUUCGGCCCGGGUAAAAUUUGGGUUUCACAA